rnacentral:rRNA from 1 species
CCCUUAGAUGUUCUGGGCAGCACGCGCGCUACAAUGGUCUUCGCAAACGGGUGCAUUCUCGAAGGAGGAUGCCAAUCUUGGAAUCUAUGCCUUGGUCGGGACAGUUGCUUGCAAUUUUUCGACUCGAACCAGGAAUUCCUUGUAAUCGUGAUUCAUCACAUCACGAUGAAUACGUCCCUGCCCUUUGUACACACCGCCCGUCGCUCCUACCGAUCGAAGAGUUAGGUGAAUUGUUUUGAUCGAUAAGAUUUGACUAUGGUCAACUCUCGUUGUGAAAUUCUGUGAAUCUGACUGUUUAGAGGAAGGAAAAGUCGUAACA